rnacentral:tRNA from 1 species
GGCGGAGUAGCUCAGUUGGCGAGAGCACGCGGUUCAUACCCGCGGUGUCGGCGGUUCAAAUCCGUCCUCCGCUA